UUAUCUGUGUUUUUUAAGGCUACCUCCAAAAGCCUCCAGAGUCACCCCAGGGACCCACAGGAAGUUGCACUUUCAGUAUUUCCUCACGAAAAGGAAACUUUCUGAAGAAGAUUUUAAAGGAAUACCAGCCUCAGAAAUUAAGGAUGGUUUAGCAGGUUCCCAUGCUUCAGAGUCUGUCACAAAGCUGUAAUCAAGGUGCUGGUUGGGGCUACCAUCUCGUAUGAAAGCUUGACUGAGGACAGAUCCACUUCCACACUGGUAUUAAGAAAUAAGUCCUAUUUUUAUAUUAGUGCUUUAUCUUGGAAUCUUGGAAUCAUAAUUUAAAUCUCAGUGUCCUUGAUCAUAUCUGAUAGUUCUUCAGAAUUAAACGUAUGUUCAUGCAUGUUUUAACACCUAGUAUAAGACAGCACAGCACUUGUAGACAUGAUCUUUGAAUUAUUGUAUUUACUCUGUUUUCUGAUUUAGUCCCUUUUUCUUUCAUUUUUUGCCAUUUAGUUCUCUCUCUAAUGAUGGGUCCAAUUUUUCUGUUGUAAUUAUGUCUGAUCUUGUCAAGAUACAUUCCAUCACAGAUAAAAUCACUACUCAUAUGUAGUUAAAUGGAAAAUUCCUAAGACAUACAAUUAUAUUGUGUCCCCAAAAGCCUUUUCUGAAUUAUAUGUAUCUUCUUUUCUUUCUCUGGACUAUGUCUGUAAAUCUUUUCAAAUUGACACAGAUCCAGAUGAUUUGUUUUGAUCCAAUGUUCCCAGUGAAGCAUUCAGGAACACAAGUAAUAGCUAUCUUUUACUGGGCCUUUACCAGGUGUCAGCCAGUGUUCUAGGCACUUUACUGUUUUGUAAUAAAAUAACUGGAGAUUUUAAAUGAAAAUGAGUCAUAGAGAAGUUUAGUAAGUGGCCCAAAGUCACACAGUAAGUGGUGAAGCUAGGGUUGUAGCUGAGGUAUUGUGGCUCCAAUGUCCACAUUAUUCACCAAAUGCUAUGCUUUCUCUCCAAGGAUAUCUUGGAUAAAUAGGCACAAAUUGAGUGGGAAACUUGUAGUCAUAAUUUACUCACUCUAAUUAUGAAACAUCUACCACUGACUGUCAUUAUUCAUGUAAUAGCCAUGAGCUUGGAAAUUGCUAUUUAAUUAUAAUAUAAGAAAAAUGAAAAAAAGUCAGCAGAAUAGAAUAAGGGAGAGGUGCACUAAUAGUUUUGUAGAUGAUUGACUGGAAAGGAUUCUCAGUUCAUCUAAUUUAAUCACAUUGUUUUCCAGUGAGAAAAUGAAGACAGACUUGUAAAUGCAUUCAGAAAAUGACUCACAUUCAUGUCAUCUUACAGUGAAGUUCAAAUUUCUCUUUGAGGUUUUUUUUUUUUUGGGGAUACGAACACUAAGUUUCUAUUUUUGAGUACUCUCUGUAUCUAAAUAAUGUUAAAAAUAAAACCAUGUCCCACUGUUCUGUACCUCUUUGUACAGUGUCUAUUUUCUUUUCUCUCACUAUCUAGUUCACCCCAAGAAUUCAGAAAAAAAUAAUCACAGCUAAUGUGGCAGUUGGUGAUAGUCAUCAGUUAGUUUUCUUGAGUUCAAAAUUAGUUGGUGAAAAUCAGGAUACUGUAUGUGUAUAUGAUACAAAAUUGUGGAAUAGGCAA
rnacentral:lncRNA from 10 species